rnacentral:rRNA from 1 species
UACGUAGGGUGCAAGCGUUAAUCGGAAUUACUGGGCGUAAAGCGUGCGCAGGCGGUUCGUUGUGUCGGCGGUGAAAGCCCCGGGCUCAACCUGGGAAUGGCCGUUGAAACUGGCGAACUGGAGUGUGGCAGAGGGGGGUGGAAUUCCGCGUGUAGCAGUGAAAUGCGUAGAGAUGCGGAGGAACACCGAUGGCGAAGGCAGCCCCCCUGGGCUAACACUGACGCUCAGGCACGAAAGCGUGGGGAGCAAACAGG